GACGAACGCUGGCGGCGUGCCUAAUACAUGCAAGUCGAACGCAGUGGGGACGGGUGAGUAACACGUGGGUAACCUCCCAUCAGAGGAGAUAACACUUGGAUACAGGUGCCAAACCGAUAUUGAUGGAUGGACCCGCGGUGCAUUAGCGAGUUGGUGGGGUAAAGGCUCACCUAGGCGACGAUCAUUAGUGGGGCGGAGAGGAUGAUCAGCCACACUGGGACUGAGACACGGCCCAGACUCCUACGGGAGGCAGCAGUGGGGAAUAGUGCACAAUGGGCGGAAGCCCGAUGCAGCCAUGCCGCGUGUAUGAAGAAGGCCUUAGGGGUGUAAAGUACUUUCAGCGGGGAGGCGUUACCCGCAGAAGAAGCACCGGCUAACUCCGUGCCAGCAGCCGCGGUAAUAC
rnacentral:rRNA from 1 species